GAAGGAUCAUUAGUGAAUAUAGGACGUCCAACUUAACUUGGAGUCCGAACUCUCACUUUCUAACCCUGUGCACUUGUUUGGGAUAGUAACUCUCGCAAGAGAGCGAACUCCUAUUCACUUAUAAACACAAAGUCUAUGAAUGUAUUAAAUUUUAUAACAAAAUAAAACUUUCAACAACGGAUCUCUUGGCUCUCGCAUCGAUGAAGAACGCAGCGAAAUGCGAUAAGUAAUGUGAAUUGCAGAAUUCAGUGAAUCAUCGAAUCUUUGAACGCACCUUGCGCUCCAUGGUAUUCCGUGGAGCAUGCCUGUUUGAGUGUCAUGAAUACUUCAACCCUCCUCUUUCUUAAUGAUUGAAGAGGUGUUUGGUUUCUGAGCGCUGCUGGCCUUUACGGUCUAGCUCGUUCGUAAUGCAUUAGCAUCCGCAAUCGAACUUCGGAUUGACUUGGCGUAAUAGACUAUUCGCUGAGGAAUUCUAGUCUUCGGAUUAGAGCC
rnacentral:misc_RNA from 1 species